rnacentral:rRNA from 1 species
UAGUCCACGCUGUAAACGAUGACAACUAACUUUUGGGCUCUUUGACGAGUUCAGUGGUACAGCUAACGCAUUAAGUUGUCCGCCCGGGGAGUACGGUCGCAAGACUAAAACUCAAAGGAAUUGACGGGGGCCCGCACAAGCGGUGGAUUAUGUGGUUUAAUUCGAAGCAACGCGCAAAACCUUACCUGGGUUUGAAAUCCUGAGAAUCCCUAAGAGAUUAGGGAGUGCCCUUCGGGGAAUUCAGUGACAGGCGCUGCAUGGCUGUCGUCAGCUCGUGUUGUGAAAUGUUGGGUUAAGUCUCGCAACGAGCGCAACCCCUAUUUUUAGUUGCCAGCAUUAAGUUGGGCACUCUAGAGAGACUGCCUGGGUUAACCAGGAGGAAGGUGGGGAUGACGUCAAGUCCUCAUGGCCCUUAUAUCCAGGGCUACACACGUAAUACAAUGGUAAAUACAAAGGGAUGCUAGACCGCGAGGUGGAGCGAAUCCCAAAAAGUUUAUCUCAGUCCGGAUUGGAGUCUGCAACUCGACU